rnacentral:rRNA from 1 species
UGACGGUACCUGCAGAAAAAGCGCCGGCUAACUACGUGCCAGCAGCCGCGGUAAUACGUAGGGCGCAAGCGUUAUCCGGAAUUAUUGGGCGUAAAGAGCUCGUAGGCGGUUUGUCGCGUCUGCUGUGAAAUCCGGAGGCUCAACCUCCGGCCUGCAGUGGGUACGGGCAGACUAGAGUGCGGUAGGGGAGAUUGGAAUUCCUGGUGUAGCGGUGGAAUGCGCAGAUAUCAGGAGGAACACCGAUGGCGAAGGCAGAUCUCUGGGCCGUAACUGACGCUGAGGAGCGAAAGGGUGGGGAGCAAACAGGCUUAGAUACCCUGGUAGUCCACCCCGUAAACGUUGGGAACUAGUUGU